rnacentral:antisense_RNA from 1 species
CUUCAGCGAGCCCAGCCACAGCGGCGAGGACUCCGGACGGUCCUGCCCGUAGGUGCUGAGCAGCGCCUGGGCCUC